AUAACCCGGGAAACUGGGUAUAAUACCCGAUAGGUCUCGAUUGCUGGAAUGCAUCGAGAUUUAAAGCUCCGGCGCCUAAGGAUGGGUCUGCGGCCUAUCAGGUAGUAGUGGGUGUAGCGUACGUACUAGCUACGACGGGUACGGGUUGUGAGAGCAAGAGCCCGGAGAUGGAUUCUGAGACACGAAUCCAGGCCCUACGGGGUGCAGCAGGCGCGAAAACUUUACAAUGCUGGCAACAGCGAUAAGGGAACCUCGAGUGCCAGGUUACAAAUCUGGCUGUCGAGAUGCCUAAAAAGCAUUUCAUAGCAAGGGCCGGGCAAGACCGGUGCCAGCCGCCGCGGUAACACCGGCGGCUCGAGUGGUAACCGUUAUUAUUGGGUCUAAAGGGUCUGUAGCCGGCCGGAUAAGUCUCUUGAGAAAUCUGGCAGCUUAACUGUCAGGCUUUCAGGAGAUACUGUCUGGCUCGAGGCCGGGAGAGGUGAGAGGUACUUCAGGGGUAGGGGUGAAAUCUUGUAAUCCUUGAAGGACCACCAGUGGCGAAGGCGUCUCACCAGAACGGACCUGACGGCAAGGGACGAAAGCUAGGGGCACGAACCGGAUUAGAUACCCGGGUAGUCCUAGCCGUAAACGAUACUCGCUAGGUGUCGGCCACGGUGCGACCGUUGUCGGUGCCGUAGGGAAGCCGUGAAGCGAGCCACCUGGGAAGUACGGCCGCAAGGCUGAAACUUAAAGGAAUUGGCGGGGGAGCACCACAACGGGUGGAGCUUGCGGUUUAAUUGGAUUCAACGCCGGAAAUCUUACCGGGACCGACAGCAAUAUGAAGGCCAGGCUGAAGACUUUGCCGGAUUAGCUGAGAGGUGGUGCAUGGCCGUCGUCAGUUCGUACUGUGAAGCAUCCUGUUAAGUCAGGCAACGAGCGAGACCCA
rnacentral:rRNA from 1 species